GGGUCGGUAGCUCAGUCGGUAGAGCAGCGGACUUUUAAUCCGUUGGUUGGGGGUUCAAGUCCCCCACGACCCA
rnacentral:tRNA from 1 species